rnacentral:rRNA from 1 species
ACUAAGCGCAUAUGUGUGGAUGCCUAGGCGGUAGGAGGCGAUGAAGGACGUUGAAGCCUGCGAUAAGCCUCGGUGAGCUGGCAAACAAGCUUUGACCCGGGGAUGUCCGAAUGGGGAAACCCGACCACUUCGGUGGUCAUCUCUAUCUGAAUACAUAGGGUAGAGAAGCGAACCUGGGGAACUGAAACAUCUAAGUACCCAGAGGAAAAGAAAUCAACCGAGAUUCCCUAAGUAGCGGCGAGCGAACGGGGAAUAGCCCAGUCACAAUCAAUCGACUAAAUCUAGGGGAACAGUCUGGAAAGGCUGGCCGUAGCUGGUGAUAGCCCCGUACCCGAAAGAUGGAAUCGAGGCGUGACAAAGAGUAGGGCGGGGCACGUGAAACCUUGUCUGAACAUGGGGGGACCAUCCUCCAAGGCUAAAUACUACCUACCGACCGAUAGUGAACUAGUACCGUGAGGGAAAGGCGAAAAGAACCCCGGAGAGGGGAGUGAAAUAGAACCUGAAACCGUAUGCGUACAAGCAGUGGGAGCCUGUCUUCGGAUGGGUGACCGCGUACCUUUUGUAUAAUGGGUCAGCGACUUACUUUCAGUGGCAAGCUUAACCGUCUAGGGGAAGCGUAGGGAAACCGAGUCUUAAAUGGGCGAAUUAGUCUCUGGGAGUAGACCCGAAACCGAGCGAUCUAUCCAUGUCCAGGGUGAAGGCAGGGUAAUACCUGCUGGAGGCCCGAACCGGGUAAUGUUGAAAAAUUAUCGGAUGAGGUGUGGAUAGGAGUGAAAGGCUAAUCAAGCUCGGAGAUAGCUGGUUCUCCUCGAAAGCUAUUUAGGUAGCGCCUCGUGUAUCACUCUCGGGGGUAGAGCACUGUUUCGGCUAGGGGGUCAUCCCGACUUACCAAACCGAUGCAAACUCCGAAUACCGAGAAGUGCAAUCACGGGAGACACACGGCGGGUGCUAAGGUUCGUCGUGGAAAGGGAAACAGCCCAGACCGCCAGCUAAGGUCCCAAAAUUAUGGCUAAGUGGGAAACGAUGUAGGAAGGCAGAGACAGCCAGGAGGUUGGCUUAGAAGCAGCCACCCUUUAAAGAAAGCGUAACAGCUCACUGGUCUAGUCGGCCCGCGCGGAAGAUUUAACGGGGCUUAAGCCAUAUACCGAAGCUGCGGAUGCAAGCACUUCACUUUAACUCACUCUAAGUAGUGCGUAUGAGCGCGCACAAAAUUUGCCCUAUUAUUAGUUACCCGUAAGGUAGCGAGCAGGGUGAAUUGUCGCGUCUGCGUCUAAUGAGUGAGCUAAAGGAAGUGCUUGCGUGGUAGAGGAGCGUUCUGUAAGUCUGCGAAGGUGUGCUGUGAGGCAUGCUGGAGAUAUCAGAAGUGCGAAUGCUGACAUGAGUAACGAUAAUGCGGGUGAAAAACCCGCACGCCGAAAACCCAAGGUUUCCUGCGCAACGCUAAUCGGCGCAGGGUUAGUCGGCCCCUAAGGCGAGACCGAAAGGUGUAGUCGAUGGGAAGCAGGUCAACAUUCCUGCACCGUUUGUUACUGCGAUGAGGGGACGGAGAAGGCUAGGUCAGCCGGGUGUUGGUUAUCUCGGUUUAAGCGUGUAGGAAGUGUUCUUAGGCAAAUCCGGGAGCACAAUUUCGAGACGCGAUGACGAGCCCCUUUAUUGGGGUGAAGUGAUUGAUGCCAUGCUUCCAGGAAAAGCCUCUAAGCUUCAGGUAACAGACGACCGUACCCCAAACCGACACAGGUGGGUGAGGAGAGAAUCCUAAGGCGCUUGAGACAACUCGGGUGAAGGAACUAGGCAAAUUGGUACCGUAACUUCGGGAGAAGGUACGCCCUUAUUGGUGAAGAAACUUGCUUUCUGAGCUGGUGAGGGUCUCAGUAACCAGGUGGCUGCGACUGUUUAUUAAAAACACAGCACUCUGCAAACUCGUAAGAGGACGUAUAGGGUGUGACGCCUGCCCGGUGCCGGAAGGUUAAUUGAUGGGGUUAGCCCUUUGGGGCGAAGCUCUUGAUCGAAGCCCCGGUAAACGGCGGCCGUAACUAUAACGGUCCUAAGGUAGCGAAAUUCCUUGUCGGGUAAGUUCCGACCUGCACGAAUGGCGUAACGAUGGCCACACUGUCUCCACCCGGGACUCAGUGAAAUUGAAAUCGCUGUGAAGAUGCAGUGUACCCGCGGCUAGACGGAAAGACCCCGUGCACCUUUACUAUAGCUUUACACUGAAUUUUGACCAUGCUUGUGUAGGAUAGGUGGGAGGCUUUGAAGCGCGAACGCUAGUUUGCGUGGAGCCAACCUUGAAAUACCACCCUAGCCUGUUUGAAGUUCUAACCUAGGUCCGUUAUCCGGAUCGGGGACCGUGUAUGGUGGGUAGUUUGACUGGGGCGGUCUCCUCCCAAAGAGUAACGGAGGAGUGCAAAGGUACUCUCAGCGCGGUCGGUCAUCGCGCAUUGUGUGCAAAGGCAUAAGAGUGCUUGACUGCGAGACAGACAAGUCGAGCAGGAACGAAAGUUGGUCUUAGUGAUCCGGUGGUUCUGUAUGGAAGGGCCAUCGCUCAACGGAUAAAAGGUACGCCGGGGAUAACAGGCUGAUUCCUCCCAAGAGUCCACAUCGACGGAGGAGUUUGGCACCUCGAUGUCGGCUCAUCACAUCCUGGGGCUGUAGCAGGUCCCAAGGGUAUGGCUGUUCGCCAUUUAAAGUGGUACGCGAGCUGGGUUUAGAACGUCGUGAGACAGUUCGGUCCCUAUCUGCCGUGGGCGUUGGAAACUUGAAGGGAGCUGCUCCUAGUACGAGAGGACCGGAGUGGACGUACCUCUGGUGUUCCGGUUGUCACGCCAGUGGCAUUGCCGGGUAGCUAUGUACGGACGGGAUAACCGCUGAAAGCAUCUAAGCGGGAAGCCCCCCCUAAGAUUAGGUUUCCCAGGGGACUCGAUCCCCCUGAAGGGCCGUUGAAGACUACAACGUUGAUAGGCUGGGUGUGUAAGUACAGUAAUGUAUGAAGCUAACCAGUACUAAUUGCCCGUGAGGCUUGACC